GCAGAUACAGAUUUCCUUCUGGGAUUCCUUCUCUUCAGCCCAAAGGACUUCUUUUCACAAUUCUUUUGGAGUGAGGCUGUUGGAAACAAAUUCCAUUAGUUUUCCUUCUUCGAGAAUGUCUUUUAUUUCACCUGCAUUGUGGAAGAGAGAGAGAGCACAAGCAGGCGAGCAGCAGGCAGAGGGAGAAGCAGACUCCUCGCUGAGCAGGGAGCCCAACAUGGGGCUCAAUCCCGGGACCCCAGGAUCAUGUCCAGAGCUGAAGGCAGCCACCAAGCGACUGAACCAUCCAGGUGCCCCUAACUGUAAGAAUUUCUAAUAACCCUUUAGUAUUUUCUUGAAUAAGCAAAUGCCCUUUUUCACUUAAUCUAUGUUAAUUUUUCUUUCAUUAAUAUGGAUGAUGAUGCAUAGAACAUCUUAGUGCAUAAACUUACCCCUCUUUAUUUUUUUUUUAAAGAUUUUAUUUAUUUAUUUGACAGAGAGAGAUCACAAGUAGAUGGAGAGGCAGACAGAGAAAGAGGGAAGCAGGCUCCC
rnacentral:lncRNA from 1 species